rnacentral:tRNA from 1 species
GGUCUAGUGGCUAGGAUACCUGGCUCUCACCCAGGAGGCCCGGGUUCGAUUCCCGG